GGACACUCCGUACGAGAAUGAUUCAGUUGAGUCGGGUAGCUUGGGAAUGCUGCUCUAAUUGGUGGUAAAUCUCAUCAAAGGCUAAAUAUUGACCGGAAACCGAUAGCGAACAAGUACCGUGAGGGAAAGAUGACAAGCACUUUGAAAAGAGGGUGAAAAGAGCCUGAAACCGUCAUGGGGGAAGCGGAUUGCGUUGGAGAUUGGGUUGCUGUGUGUUCAGCCUUUGAAUUUUAAACGAUUUGGGGUGCAUUGGCGCAGUAAUCGAGGCACCGUGGGUUUCAGCUGGUGGAAGUUGCACUGGUUGGGGCUGAGGGAUCCCUUUUAUAGGUGAGGACGGUGUGUGAACGACGCAAUACGACCCGUCUUGAAACACGGACCAAGGAGUCUAGCGCGGUUGCGAGUCAGAGGGUGCAAGCCCGAGGGCGUAGUGAAAGCGAGUGUGAAAACGAGCAGUUUGGGGCGGCAUGAGAUUGUUAAUUUCAAGUCCGACCUUGAGCAGUUGCGCUGGGACCCGAAAGAUGGUGAACUAUGCCGGAAUAGGGCAAAGCCAGAGGAAACUCUGGUGGAGGCUCGUAGCGGUGCUGACGUGCAAAUCGCUCGUCUGAUUUUGGUAUAGGGGCGAAAGACUAAUCGAACCAUCUAGUAGCUGGUUCCCUCCGAAGUUUCUCUCAGGAUAGCGGGCCGACAGGUGUUGUUUUGUGCGGUAAAGCGAAUGAUUAGCGCACUCGGGGGCGGUUUGCCUUUGGGCGAUUCUCAAACUUUCAAUGCGCAAGGGUGCCGCUGCUUGAUUGAGCGGCACCGGCAAAAACGUCGGCCCCGUGGGCCACUUUUGGUAAG
rnacentral:rRNA from 1 species